rnacentral:rRNA from 1 species
GUAACAAGGUUUCCGUAGGUGAACCUGCGGAAGGAUCAUUAUAGAAUUCCAACCUUGGGUUGGGUUGUUGCUGGCCUCUAGGGGCAUGUGCACGCCUGCUCAUCCGUUUUCAAACCAUCUGUGCACCUUUCAUGGAAUAGACUUUGGAUAUAUACCGUUCGAGGGUGAAACCCCCCUCUGUUUGAGGGCCUUGCUGUGCUGCAAAGUUCUGCUUCCCUGUGCAUUUCCGGUCUAUGCAUCUUCUUAUACCCCGUAACGAAUGUAUUAGAAUGUUUUUUUUAUUGGCCUUUUUAGUGCACAUCUUAAUCAAAUACAACUUUCAGCAACGGAUCUCUUGGCUCUCGCAUCGAUGAAGAACGCAGCGAAAUGCGAUAAGUAAUGUGAAUUGCAGAAUUCAGUGAAUCAUCGAAUCUUUGAACGCCCCUUGCGCUCCUUGGUAUUCCGAGGAGCAUGCCUGUUUGAGUGUCAUGGUAAAUUCUCAAUUCUUAACCAGGUCUUUUUGUGAGACUCUGAUGAUAUUAGGACUUGGAUGGGGGGGUUUAUUGCUGGCUUCUUAGCAGGUGCCUGCUCCUCUUAAAUGCAUUAGUGUGAACCCUUUGUUGGCACUGUCAUGCUCGGUGUGAUAAUUAUCUGCAUCUGUGUCUGCAGUCAGCUUUAUUCUAAUGGGCUUUUCAUGCUUCUAACUCGUACUUCCUCUUUGUUGAGGACAGAUUCUUUUGAGCAUUCUGACCUCAAAUCAGGUAGGACUACCCGCUGAACUUAAGCAUAUCAAUAAGCGGAGGAAAAGAAACUAACAAG